rnacentral:rRNA from 1 species
UACGUAGGGGGCGAGCGUUGUCCGGAUUUAUUGGGCGUAAAGAGCGUGUAGGCGGUUAUACAGGUCCGCUGUGAAAACUGGAGGCUUAACCUCCAGACGUCGGUGGAAACCGUAUAACUAGAGUCCGGAAGAGGAGAGUGGAAUUCCUGGUGUAGCGGUGAAAUGCGCAGAUAUCAGGAAGAACACCCGUGGCGAAGGCGGCUCUCUGGGACGGUACUGACGCUGAGACGCGAAAGCGUGGGGAGCGAACAGG